rfam:Negativicoccus succinicivorans DORA_17_25 Q612_NSC00299, whole genome shotgun sequence.
AAACCCCUACCGUGCACGUGUGGCUAACGUUAUUUUGAACCAACACCAUCGAUAAGGGAGUCCAACUUCGCUCGCGGAGUAGAUUUUCUUCGGGCGGGAAGACACCCACCUGCACAUGCAGGCUCAAAAUACAGCAAAUCACGACAUGGUGGGGAUUUU